GACAGAGGGUGCAAGCGUUGUCCGGAUUUAUUGGGCGUAAAGAGCGUGUAGGCGGCCAAGUAAGUCUGCUGUGAAAACUCGAGGCUUAACCUCGAGCUGUCGGCGGAAACUAUUUGGCUAGAGUCCGGAAGAGGAGAAUGGAAUUCCCGGUGUAGCGGUGAAAUGCGCAGAUAUCGGGAAGAACACCCGUGGCGAAGGCGGUUCUCUGGGACGGUACUGACGCUGAGACGCGAAAGCGUGGGGAGCGAACAGG
rnacentral:rRNA from 1 species